GUUAAAAUGUUGUACUGUCAAGGGGGGCUCUCGAGUGACUAGCUUGAUCGUAUCGUUCGUUGAGAGCUCAAACCAUUUGCAUCCUUGCAUCAUACUUCUUGGCUCUGAUUUGGUGUUUCUCUUUGUGAGUUUUAGAGCUUAUGGUCAUCUUCAUGACAAGCUCGAGUUCAUCGAAAACGGAGUCCAUAUGCAUCUACUA
rnacentral:lncRNA from 1 species